GGGACCCGCACAAGCAGCGGAGCGUGUGGUUUAAUUCGAUGCUACACGAAGAACCUUACCAGGGUUUGACAUGCAAGUGGUAGGAAACUGAAAGGGACGACCUUCGGGAGCUUGCACAGGUGCUGCAUGGCUGUCGUCAGCUCGUGUCGUGAGAUGUUCGGUUAAGUCCGCUAACGAGCGCAACCCUCACUGUGUGUUAUAUGUGUCACACGGGACUGCCGGUUUUAAGCCGGAGGAAGGUGGGGAUGACGUCAAGUCAGCAUGGCCUUUAUAUCCUGGGCUACACACACGCUACAAUGGUCAGUACAAUAGGUUGCCAAGCCGCGAGGUGGCGCCAAUCCAUAAAGUUGGUCUCAGUUCAGAUUGUAGGCUGCAACCCGCCUGCAUGAAGAUGGAGUUGCUAGUAACCGCAGGUCAGCUAUACUGCGGUGAAUACGUUCCCGGGGCUU
rnacentral:rRNA from 1 species